UACCAGCACCCCGAGUGGUCGGGACGAUUAUUGGGCCUAAAGCAUCCGUAGCCGGUCCUACAAGUCUUCCGUUAAAUCCACCUGCUUAACAGAUGGGCUGCGGAAGAUACUAUAGGGCUAGGAGGCGGGAGAGGCAAGCGGUACUUAGUGGGUAGGGGUAAAAUCCGUUGAUCCAUUGAAGACCACCAGUGGCGAAGGCGGCUUGCCAGAACGCACUCGACGGUUAGGGAUGAAAGCUGGGGGAGCAAACCGG
rnacentral:rRNA from 1 species